UUUGAAGACUCAAUUUCUCCAUCGAAUCGAGGCAUCGGCGGCCAUUUUUUAUCAAAUCUGACCGCGUGAUUCCCCGCAUUGAAUUAUUUUAAAUACUGAAUUCUGCCAAAUUCGUAUCUGUUGCUCGGCAAAUUUAGGAAUCUGUUUUUCUUUUCAACAGACAUGUUUACUAUCUCAUCGUAGUCUUUCUUCGUGAUUUCCUUGCAAAAAUGAUAAAUACUAAGUUUUAAUACCUUUGUCAGUGUUUUUGUUCCGGUUCAAAUUCAGGGCCCUAUCUCAAUGUAAAAUGUAUAUAUUGGGACCUAAGAAUUUCCAAAUACAAGGUUUCCAAAAAAAAAUCAAGUAAACUUUUAUAGGGGAAAAAUACGUCUAGGGGAAAGGGCCUUCUCAAAGAAGGAAAAAAAAACUGCGUCAGCAAUUAUCAGACUAUAUUCUACAACCUCCUGUAGCAGUUGCUUCCAUUUGCUGCACUAAUCAAAAUACAUGAUACAUCAACCAUCGAUAGAUGAAGCAUUCAUGAUCACAAUGGGGGACUGAUCGGGGAUGUGUGUACAAGGCGAUAAGAAAACAUUGCCUAGGGGCUUAUCUCGAUUGGCGAGCGCUAAUCCCCUUGUUUAUCAGGGACAAUAAAACAUAGCUGCUCUUUUGUUUUGAGGGAAAGUGUACUGUGGGCCCUUACACGAGAGAAAAAAAUGCAGUGGGCCAAUCAUUUAAAAAAAAUCAUAGUUCGACAGCCAGCUGGGGGGGGCCGAGCCCCUGGGCCCAUGGCCUGGGUACGGGCCUGGUAUGACUAAAAUACCGAAAACAGUAGUGCGUUCAGUAAGCGGAACGUUUUACGAACGUUCGGAACAGUUUGCGCGUUUCCGUACCUGCUGAACGGACCGUUCGGCGAGAACGUUCCGCAACGAAACGAAACGCAUUUGGGCGGUCGUUUACAAAGCGAACAAAGAUGGCGGACAGUUCAUUGAUGAAGCUCACUCUGCAGUUGCCGGAUGGAAAAAGGGUUUCCUUCCAUGUUGAUGAGGAGACGUACAGGCUUGUUGUAGAUGAAAAGGAUGAAGACACUAUUCGCUAUCUUGUCAGUCAGACAGUUGAUGGAGAGCAAGAUUCUGAUUCAUCAGAUGUUCCGGCCACCGAAGAUCAAUCAGUUGAUGCAAGUAGUUUGGACUUCAGAACUGCAGACUCAGGAGCUGCGACUGCAUCUGCAUCAGGUGUUCGAUGGACCCAUGAAGGGAUUUUGUUGAUGCUGUCUCUUUAUGAAGAACAUAAACAGAAAUUUGAUUCCGCAUCCUUCAAAAACAAAAACGUGUGGAGAUUGAUAGCAGAAGAGAUGGCACACAAAGGAGUUACUGUCACAGGUGAAGCCUGUGACAGUAAAUUCCGGUUGAUGAAGUUUAAGUACAAGAAGAUAGUGGACCAGCAUGCCACUAGUGGGAGCGGGCGAAAAAACUGGGAAUACUUCCAAAGGAUGGAUGAGCUAAAAAAAAUGCUGGAGAUCCAUCUGUAAGACCAGCGAUGGUUGUGUCGUCAAUGCCAGGUUCGUUUUUUUUAUUAUGCCCCCCUUCGAAGAAGAGGGGGUAUAUUGCUUUGCUCAUGUCGGUCGGUCUGUCGGUCCGUCCACCAGGUGGUUGUCAGACGAUAACUCAAGAACGCUUGGGCCUAGGAUCAUGAAACUUCAUAGGUACAUUGAUCAUGACUCGCAGAUGACCCCUAUUGAUUUUGAGGUCACUAGGUCAAAGGUCAAGGUCACAGUGACAAGAAAUAGUAAAAUGGUUUUUUAAUGAAAACUCAAAAACGCAUACGCCUAGGAUCAUGAAACUUCAUGGGUAGAUUGAACAUGACUUGCAGAUGACCCCUAUUGAUUUUGAGGUCACUAGGUCAAAGGUCAUGCCACUAGUGGGAGCGGGCGAAAAAACUGGGAAUACUUCCAAAGGAUGGAUUAGCUAUUUGCUGGAUAUCCAUCUGUAAGACCAGCGAUGGUUGUGUCGUCAAUGCCAGUCCAGCAAGAUGUUACUGUAACUGUAACUGCAAAGCCGCCACCUGGGCCACGUAGACCCACGGUUCAUAAAGCACCAACUCCUCCACCAAUUGACCAGCCAGCAGGAAGGGCAACCACCCCUUCUACAGAGGGGACUGAUGAGCUUGUUGCUACCCCUCUCAUCAGAAAAAGAAAAAGAAGUGGGAGCCAAGACCCUCCAGAAUGGUUCCGGGGCUACAUGCUAGAACAUUCGCAAAGACUUGACCGCUUGGAUGCCCAUAACGAGCGUUUGACUGCUUUGGCGGAACAAAAAAAUCGUCUACUGGAGCGACUUGUUGAGGCUCUGACCUCCAAUAAAAGUUGAACUGUCUAUAGAGAUUUCCAUUACUCCUGUAAACAGCGAGUGUAAAUAUGUUGAGUUGUGUUUCGUCAUUGUCUCAUUGUAAAGUAUCCAGUUAUUUUAUGCCAAGAUGAACUUGCAUUAUGGAGAAUUCAGAGCUGAUCUUUUAUCUAUGUAUAUAUUAAAUUAUUAUAAUUG